ACCGCCCGCAAGGGUAAGGAUGGAAAGGCGAGGUAAGAGCUCACCCGCAAAUCGGCGACGAGGCGCGAUGUAAACCCCACCCGGUGCAAGAAAGGAGCGUGAAAUGCGGCCCGCAAGCUCCCGUCCGCUGGAACCGCACGGCAACGUACGGUCAAGAUAGAUCGCCGCCCAAGACAGAACUCGGCUUACAGACUAUGCUCGCAC
rnacentral:RNase_P_RNA from 1 species